CUUCUUUUUCUUUUCAAGGGUGAGAGAUGGCAGGCCAAAAGGGAGGUAGGACAGAGCUCAGAGGAUUGGGAAGUGAGAGUAAUCAGGGUUCAUGAUGUGAAAUUUUCAAAUAACCAAUAAAAUAUUAUAUGAUUAAAAAAGAAUGAACAAGACAAAGAGAGGCUGUUGCAAAGCAAGACAGAGAGAGGCCACUCAGUAAGAGGCUCUUGAGUGACUGCAUUAGAAGCUGUGUGAACAAAAGUGUUCAAGAGUCUUGUUGAUUUUGUUACUGCUGAUGUUGCUGUCAUCAUUGUUGUCGUCAUUGUCAUCAUCAUCAUCAUUGUUGUUGAGACAGAGUCUUAAUACAUAGCACUGACCAGUCUGAAAUUUGGUGCAUAGACCAGGCUGGCCUCAAAAUCAUAGAUUUCCAAGUGGAUCCACUUUCCGAGUAUUCAGAUUAAAGUUGUGAGCCACCACCACAUCUGGAUGGAACAUUUCUUUUAUUUCUUUUUAAAAGAUGAAUUAAAACUACUAGGUAUAAACAACAAACAAUUGUCUUAAGGCUGGAAAACCUUGGAAUCCUAGAAUAACAAAGAGAAAGGAAUAUCAAGUCUGGGAAAUAUUUUAGGACCAUAUUAGUACUCAGAAAAAUCAUUUUAUUAAUAGGUAGCACUAACUGAAUGCUUAUAAUUUACCAGGCUCUGUAUUAAGUACUUUAUACACAUUAUAUAUUAGAUACUAAAAUUGGUAUGAAACAAAUGCUGUUGUGGACUCAUUUGAGAUGUAGAAAUGAGGAUGAAAAACUGCCAAAGAUCACUCAUAUAAGAUUUGACCCACCACUCUGGCUCCCCACGUCACUGGCUAUAUAAAAACUAUGAUACCAUGCCAUCGAGAACAUUAUAUCUGAGAACGGUCAUGAUCCUUAUUUUCUACUUUUCUGUGCAGAAAAAAAAAUUAAAGAAAAUGUGGAAAAUCAAAAGUCCUAAAGAGGAACCUCUUAUUGAGUAGAAAUAAUAGUAUGAAAAUUGAACUUCAGAGUGCAUAAACAAUGUACACAAAUGCCCCCCUUCAUUGACUUGCUCCUUCACUACUUGACAAGUUUCGGUUCAGAAAAGUCACUUCAAGAUGAUAAAAACCAAGGUGCAGAGUGUUGGUAAAUGAACAGAGGGCAAAGCACGAUGGUGAAGUGUAGAGAAAGGACAGUUGCCGACAUGAUCAAGAGAUUAUGUCCUACAGUAGAGUAUGAAACACAGUUAGCAAUGAGAAGGGAAAAGAGCCUGCCCGGAGGGAUAUGUUUUAGAAACAGGGGAUUAAAUAACCAGUGAAGCUGCAUCCCUGAAAGAAUUCACAGCACUGGUUCAUUUGCUGUAGAAUGAGGAUGGGCCAGCCAUUCCCAAACAUCUUUUGUAAAGGAGAUAAAUAACACAAAAUGCAAAGAUAGGGGAAUUUUUUUAAUAUGUGAAGAGGAGAGAUGAAUGAAGAGAGCCAUCAGAGCACGCAGGGUCAUGGGAAGACUUGGGAGUUCAAAGGAUGAGGUCUCCAUUAACAAAAUUCAGGACAAAGGCUUAACUUCCUGGUCCUUCCAGCACAUGGGAUUAGUAACAGCUUGUCACUGAGGAAGUACCACUCAUGCUCUGGGGAGAUGCUUGUCCUAAUCUUCUCCAUGCUAUUUUAGGACAAGCACAAUCAUUGUGAGUCAUUGCCUAUGUGGGCCUGUUCCCACCAUGGUAGUUUAAUAAUUUUUUUCCAAAUUAGGUUUUUCUCGGAUGUGUCCCUCCUGCCUCUGUCCCCAUCCUUCCCACCAGUUUACCACCCAGAAGCCCAGCACUUGGAAGGCAGCUUCCCAGGAUUCUUGUUUUGGAUUCACUGAUUGCCUCUCACAGCUCUGAUGAUGGUCUUCAGGCAAGCAACAUAGACAAUCUGGGAGCAUGCUAGGAAUCAUAUGCACAAACAAGGCACCCAGCCCUGUGUCAGGAUCCUAUGGCCAGUUCUGUACCCAUUACAGUUUUCAUCACAACCCAUUUUAUCUUUACUUAGGAAUCAAAAAGAGAGGAAUCACUUAUUAUUCUAAUUCCCUUCUGGACAUUUGCCUCUGGGUUGGUUUCUGGCUUCCUCAGCAUAGGAAAGUUCAGCUUCUUUGUAGUGUCCCCCUCUGUUACAGCUCUCUCAGCCUAACCUAUCUGUUUAACCCGCCCAUACUCAUGUGUCGACUUGACACAAACUAGAGUCAUUUUAAAUGAGGGAACCUCCAUUGAAAAAAAAUGGUCUCACUAGAUUGACCUGUAGACAAGUCUGAGGUGUAUUGAUUGAUGAUUGCUUGUGAGAAGGUCCAGCUCACUCUGGUGCCACCCCAAGGAUGGUGAUCCUGUGCUAUAAGAAAGCAGAUUGAACAAGCAUCAGGAGCAAUCUAGUAACCAAUACUCCUUAAUGAUUUCUGCAUCCAUUCUUGCCCCUAGCUUUCUGCCCUGACAUCCUUGGAUAAUAGAGUACAAAGAGUAAGAAGAAAUAAACCUUUUCCUCCCCAAGUUGCUUAAGGUCAUGGUGUUUUAUUACAACAAUAAAAACCCUAACUACAACAAUUUGGUUUAUGUAUUUAAUACAUAUUUUAUGUUUGUUUAUAUACGUGUAUAAUUCCAAAAACACAUUUGGCUUCUACAUGUUCAUGUUCGUGUAUAUGUAUCUGUAGCAUGUGUGGAUUAACCCAGGUUUCCCAGGAGAAAAUACGAAGAGCAGAACAUGAGAGAAUAUUAAACUGAGAGAUUUAGAGAGAAUGUUUUAUUUCCACAGCCACCAAAGUGACUAAUAUAACCACAUGAAUCCCCAGGAGCUUAUGGGAUUUGUUUUUGGCCAAAGCUACAUUCGAAAUACCCAAAUGCCCAAUCCUCUAGGUUGCCAGAACUAUAUUUACAAUUGUCUUCCUUUUCUAUGUUUAGAAAUUUACUUUAAGCUCCUCCAGCUCCUAUCUGAACCACUUACAAAGCAAGCUCUGGUUUUCGUCACUUGUCAGGGCCAAUCAAGAGGUUGAGUGUAUAAAAUGUACUAUUUCAGAACUUUAGGACUGUCCCUAACCCAGGAGAAACAAAAGAAACUCUUUUCUGAACUCCCCUCUGAGGCCAAGCACCACGCCGGACCAUUACAUACCUUCUCACUUGUAUCUUAAGGACCCUGCCUGGUGGCAUCACUUCUCCUGACUCUCAAGUUUUUAUUCCAGUGGAAAUUAAACACCCCAGGUUCACCAGUCUACUCGCUGCAUGUCUUGGGAGUUCUCAGCUUCUAUGGACCAAUCCCAGAUGAUAAAUUUCUCUCUCCUCACCCUAGAUGUGUGAGGGAGGGAGAAAAGAUGUGAUCGAUUCAUUUCUCUGGAGAAUGCUAACAUACUUGUAUUUCACGACUUAUCAUUUGCUCAGAUACAGGCAAAGAUAGUGCAAACUCUCUGAAAUUGUUGAGAUGCUCCCUGUGUCCUUUGCUACCUUCACUGUAUGUGCUUAGCAUGUGUAUCAAGAAUUAAAAGUUGAGGCGUGUCUCUGUCACAAUCUAAAGAGAAUGAAUAUGAUAACAGGGACCAAGAGGUGUGUAAUCAGACCACAAUUUAUCAGUGCUUCCUUAAGGACUUCAGGUGUAUUUCUGAGCCAGUUCUUUUUUUUUUUUUCAGAAAACAGAUUUAUUAUUCAUAAUAUUCUAAUUCCUCUGCAAUAUGAAGCACAUUGCUGCAAAUCUGCAAUUACAUCACUUAGCAAUUUACUUGUUAUAGAUAGAUGAUAGAUAAGUAGGUAGAUAUGUAGGUAGAUAGAUAGAUAGAUAGAUAGAUAGAUAGAUAGAUAGAUAGAUAGAUAGAAAUAGAUCAUUUAAAUUUUACAAUAACCCUGCAGUCAGUAUUAUCUUGACUUGCUGGGAUUGGAGAAAUAACAUGAGUAAAUCUAUUAUUACUUAUUUCCUGACUGAUUUGGUCACCUUAACAAGAUGUCUCUUCAGCAUCAUAUCUUCAUCCUUAACUGGAGGUUGUUUUUCUCAGUCCACAGCGCUGUUCUAAUAAUUAAGUGAGGACUGGAUAGCAAAGCUUUCAUUUUUGUGUUUAUGAAUGGAGUUCAGGCUAGCCUCAAGCUUGCAACCAUUUACCUCAGCCUCCUGAGUGGUCAGAUUGUGUCACUGUGCUUGGCUAUGGUUAUACAUUUUUUUAAUAUAGUUUUAUUCUUAACCCAUUUUAGACAAAAAUUCACUUUCUUGUAUUUGUCCAUAGGGCGUAUGGCUUGGUUUGGUUUCAUAUGAUGUCUGAUUCUAAAGAGCAAAAAUACUCAUGAGAAAAAGUCAAGUGAUAAGAUGAUGAACUGGGUAGAAUUGUUUUAUGGAUUUUUAAAUUCCAUGAACCUUUAGUUGGCAAGCUUAUUCAUAAACAAAACAAGGCACGGGGACCUUUAAGCAAUAAAUCACACUUUCCGCAUCUCUGUUUUUCCUCCCAAGUUCCCACUGAGUCCUCUUGUAAAGUCACAUUCCCUAUGCCUCUGUUCUCAACUUCAAGGGAAGUGGCUCUGAACACACAUGGGAGAUCUGAAAAGCACAAAAGCAGUUUCCAAACAGUCCCAGCCCCAAGGAAGUUGAAACACCAAGGAGAUCCCUUGCCUGUCUCACUAAAUGCCUGUCCAUCUGUCAGCCUGCCUCACUAAAUGGCUGCCUAUCUGUCAGCCCGCCUCACUAAGCCUGCUGUCUGUCUGUCUGUACUGUGUCUGCUUGAGGCCUGGACCACAGCAUAGUCUCAGGAAGUUGAGUGAUUCUUGUUCUCACUGACAGCUGGUUCACUAGGACCUUCUGUCCAGCUCAAGAGUAAGGUGUGGUGACCACACCCCUUUUAUGACUUGUGUCAUCUUUAUAAACUCCAAGCUACAUAAAAUUCACAAAUAGUGAAUUUCACUUCACUUUUCCUGGUGUUAGCUAACUCAAGUAAGAGUCUCUCACAAGUCAAAACACCAUUUCACUGCCUCAGCUAGGUAAUACUUGUGAGAAAAACACCAAUUCGAAUGCCUGUUCUUGUGAGCCUCUGUUUUUUUUUUUUUUUUAAAUUUUUUCCCACCCCCCCGAGCCUCUGUUUUAACAAGAGAAAGUGGAAUGAAUAAAGAAAGUCACUGAAGUUUUGACUCCUCAUUACCUCAAAUCUAGAGGAAAGAGUAAGUCUAACCCCUGGGGUGAGAGAAGUCAGAGGAAAUCCACCUUCAACUGAACAUAGCCAGAUAACUACUACCACUGACUCCUGACAGACAACAAAGCAGUCUCAGUCAUUUUAGAAGUACUAACAGUCCAGAGCUGGAGAGACAGCUCUGUCUAAAAUACUUGACGUGUAUGCACAAGAACUCAAGCUUGACCCCCAGAACUCAUGGUGGUGAGCACUUGUAAUCCAUCAGUGGAAAGGCAGAGACAAGCAGCUCUCCAGGGCCCGCUGGCAGCAUCUAGCCUAACCUACCUGGAGAAAUCCAGGCCACUGAGAGGCUUUCUCAGAAAAUAGGAGACAGGCCCUGAGGAAUGACAGCUGAGAUUACCCUCUGACCCACAUAUGUACAUGCACACAGAUGCACAUACACACACACACACACACACACACACACACACACACACACACACGUAUUUAUCCUAUAUAUUUCUCAUGAAGCUGACGAUUUCCCAUCCACUUUAAAGUUGUCUUGAGACUCUGCUGGGUGCUUCAAUUGAUUCAGAUACAGAGAGAGGAAAAGUCCUUCCUACAAAUCAUCCUGGUGUAACAAAUCCUUCCAAGUUGUGGAAUAUCAUCAUAGAUCAGUGGUCUUUCUAAAAUUUCAUGGAGUAGAAGUACCUGGAAAGCCUGUCAGAAAAG
ensembl:lncRNA